AGGACGAACGCUGGCGGCGUGCUUAACACAUGCAAGUCGAGCGGAAAGGCCCUUCGGGGUACUCGAGCGGCGAACGGGUGAGUAACACGUGAGUAAUCUGCCCCUAGCUCUGGGAUAGCUCCGGGAAACCGGGAUUAAUACCAGAUACGACCACUUUAGACAUCUUCUGUGGUGGAAAGAACUUCGGCUAGGGAUGAACUCGCGGCCUAUCAGCUUGUUGGUGAGGUAACGGCUCACCAAGGCGACGACGGGUAGCCGGCCUGAGAGGGCGACCGGCCACACUGGGACUGAGACACGGCCCAGACUCCUACGGGAGGCAGCAGUGGGGAAUAUUGCGCAAUGGGCGAAAGCCUGACGCAGCGACGCCGCGUGGGGGAUGAAGGCCUUCGGUUGUAAACCCCUUUCAGCAGGACGAAGCGAAAGUGACGGUACCUGCAGAAGAAGCGCCGGCUAACUACGUGCCAGCAGCCGC
rnacentral:rRNA from 1 species